UACUGAACUGCAUACGCUGAUGCCAACAAAGGACCGUACACCGGCAGCAGCAGCACGGGCAAGGAGGGAUCAGCUGGCAGAAGACCUGAAUCGUCUGUAGCCUGGAGGCAGAUUGGUGAAAAUCUAGGGCUACAUGAGACCAGGGCUGGUGUGGAGCAGCUGUAUCUUUCCAUCAGGUCCCAAUUGAACCCUUUGUCAAGCAGUUGCGCCGUGAAUUGUCC